CCUACGGGAGGCAGCAGUGAGGAAUAUUGGUCAAUGGACGAGAGCCUGAACCAGCCACGCAGCGUGAAGGAUGAAUGCCCUAUGGGUUGUAAACUUCUUUUAUAUGGGAAUAAAAUGUUCCACGUGUGGGAUUUUGUAUGUACCAUAUUAAUAAGGAUCGGCUAACUCCGUGCCAGCAGCCGCGGUAAUACGGAGGAUCCGAGCGUUAUCCGGAUUGAUUGGGUUGAAAGGGUGCGUAGGUGGAUUGUUAAGUCAGGUGUGAAAGUUUGCGGGUCAACCGUAAAAUUGCAGUUGAUACUGGCUGUCUGGAGUACAGUAGAGGUGGGCGGAAUUCGUGGUGUAGCGGUGAAAUGCGUAGAUAUUACGAAGAACUCCGAUUGCGAAGGCAGCUUACUGGACUGCAACUGACACUGAGGCUCGAAAGCGUGGGGAUCAAACAGGAUUAGAUACCCUAGUAGUC
rnacentral:rRNA from 1 species